GCCUCUUCUGCUCCUCACCAAUUAACGCAUGCAUAACAUCAGCUGGAUCAAGUUGUGUUUGAUGCCCGCGUUGUUCUCCAGGCGUCCUCUUAUGGCACUGAAAUCUAAUAAAUGGUACAAUUUUGGUUCCUUAAUGACACAGGGCGCAGGUGCAGGGUUCUUCUUGAUAUGGCAUUUAGGAAACGAUUGAUUUGACGCAAAGGUUGUUUGUCCCCAAACAAGGCCGAGAAACAGACUCGUAAUAUAUUUGUCAUCAUCUGUGUUUUUAGUGACUUGAUUUUGAUUAGAUGCGGUUGUUGUUGUUUCGUCAUGUCCCCUUGUCAAUGUUCACGUCUUGUCUUGUCUUCCUUGUUAGCUUUUCGUUCCCAUCGAGGGUCCUCCACACCAACACCGCAAAAACCCAAUUGCUCAGAACUUCAUUUCAGGUCAAAACUAUGAAAAUAAUUCCUUUUAGAGGGAGCAAAUACGGAAAACCGACUUGUCAAUUGCUGCAUCCAAAUAUUUGGGUCUCGAGAGUGGCAGCCAUCAAUCAGUACGAAAUGACAAUGACUUUUCAAUUCUCAUUAGGGUCAUUUUCAUAUAAUUUGAUCAAUUUGUGUUUGAUGAUACUGAUUGGACGUGAUUAGGAAAGCCGCACACCUGUCGAUAUAAAACCUUACAGCUCACCGUGCAUGUCAGAGCAAAUGAGAAUCAUGAGGAACUGCCUGAAGAGCUCAGAGACAGAAUUGUGGCAAGGCACAGAUCUGGCCAAGGUUACAAAACAAUUUCUGCUGCACUUAAGGUUCCUAAGAACACAGUGGCCUCCAUAAUCCUGAAACGGAAGACGUUUGGGACGACCAGACCAAAAUGGCUGCCCACCAACGUUCACCAUCCAACCUGACAGAACUGGAGAGGGUCUGCAAGGGGGAAUGGCAGAGGAUCCCCAAAUCCAGGUGUGGAAAACUUGUUGCAUCAUUCCCAAAAAGACUCAAAAGGGUGCUUCCACUAAAUACUGAGCAAAGGGUCCGAAUACUUCAUCUGCAAAAAUUCCAACAAUUCAACAAUAUAUAUGUAUAUAUAUAUAUGUUUCUUUACCAUUAUUGAUCAAAUUGUAUGAAAAUGACCCGUAAACCGAUGUCAUUCCAUCUCUUAACCAUACAAGUGUUGGCUCAUCGUCAGCCAUUUAUUCAUAGGCUGGCUUCAAAUCUCUUUUUGGUCGACUCGUCAAAUACCUGUCCUGGAGUUCACUCGCCGUUCGUGCUUUGAGCCACAUUUGCCCCGAGAAGAUGUUUAACCAGUGUCUGUACAACUGAAUGGCAUUCAAUUAUGAACGCGUUUAUCAGUAUUGAGGUUAGAGCCCUUUCUAAUUUACUCCUCCUCUGUUGUCGCAACAUUAAGACCCUCAACCCCACAUCCCCCCACGCGCGCACACACACACACACACAAAUUCACUCGCUGCUCACGUGUUAUCUAAACUUCCCACAUUGGCAAUCUGAUAUUAAAGCCUGAUUAUAAAGUCUCCUUCUCGCCUCCCCACUACUCAUCCCCUGCCAAAUGAACACAGUGAAUGAGCUUCUCCUACGCUGUUUUAACAAGAUUAAAGCUUAGAAUCAGGUAUGGUUUCAUACCAGUUUUGUCCAGAAGGAAACUCGAGACUCACCAAUAUCAUUAGUGAGCAGACAUAAUGUAAUUACUCUUGAAGAGGGUGUCUGUGUGUGUGUGUGUGUGUGUGUGUGUGAUAGUGAAGUGUAUUUCAAGUGAACUUUUUUGGUCAUUUUCCCAGUGGCUUCAUGUUUUUGUCAGUAUGGAUUAUACAUGUAAGUUUGUGGUGAGCUUUAUGCUUUGUUUGCACACAACCAUAAUAACUGAGUUGAACUUUUUCCACAUUUCAGGCGUCAAGAGUAUUGGAGGUCAGAGGUCUCACAUUUAUCACAGUUAAGUGUCAGAUAUAGGCAGCGUGGGUGGGAUGCAAUGUAUGCAUUUGUGAAUGUGUGUGUGUGAGAUCACUGCAGGAUGACGUGAGUUAUCUUUGUCGACCUGUCGGAGGAGAAAAGUCAGAUGGCACAGCAGAUAAGGAAUUAAUGGAGGAAGUAGAAGAAACACGCAUGAAGUUACAGAUGUUGCAGGAUGUGAAGAACGGAGAGGAUAAAAAAUGCAAAAGGCACUCCUCAGUCACACCCCGGUGGUAAGCUGCCUGUGUAGCCUUAGCUGCCCUGGAGAAGACGCGUGGCUGCCAUUCUGCGCCCUCCGACCACCACCAAACAUCUAACCACAUGAAUUCGUCGUCAAUGUGGGUAAAGUGUCUUGCUCAGGGACACAACGACGACAUGCACUCAGUGUGGCGACCCAGUUUUGGGGGUUUCAGAGCUUCAGCAUAUUACACAGCGAGUGUGACUGUAGGUUCCCAACAGUCGGAAUUUCAUCCACUGGCAAUUCUCCAGUCCCAUUUAGUCAUCUCACUUCACUUUACGUCUUAGCGCUCCGGGAUGCACGUGGCUCUACGUUGACGAUGCUCCCCCCCCCCCGAGUAACAGCUCCACCAGCCGUACCAAUGCAGACAGUCCCAAAGCGCCGCCAUUUUCUGAUGACAGAAACAUUGUGAGAGCUGUGAAGAAACACCCAAAGACGACAGUCAGUGACAUCACUGCCAACCUCCACAGGGCAGCGGUGAAGGUAUCACAAUCCACUGUUCGAAGAAGACUUCGAGAGAAGAAAUACACAGGCCAUACCACAAGACGCAAACCACUCAUCACCAAAAGGAAUCUGAAAAUCAGAUUGGAUUUUGCAAAGUUCAGAGAUGAGCCACAAAAGUUUGGGAACAAAGUUUUAUGGACUGAUGAGACCAAGAUUAACAUCUUCCAAAGUGAUGGAAAGGCCAAAUUAUGGUGAAAGAAUGGAUCUGCUGUUGGUCCAAAACACAGAAGCUCAUCUAUGAAGCAUGGUGGAGAAAAAUCCAUCCAAACUAAUCGGGAGAAGCUUCAUCAUGCAACAAGACUAUGACCCAAAACACACUGCCAACACAACAAAGGACUUCAUCGGGGGGGGGGGGGGGGGGAAG